CAGGACGAACGCUGGCGGCGUGCCUAACACAUGCAAGUCGAGCGAGGAGAUCCUUCGGGAUGAUCCUAGCGGCGGACGGGUGAGUAACACGUGGGCAACCUGCCUCAUAGAGAGGAAUAGCCUUCCGAAAGGGAGAUUAAUACCUCAUAACAUUGCAGUUUCGCAUGGAACAGCAAUUAAAGGAGUAAUCCGCUAUGAGAUGGGCCCGCGGCGCAUUAGCUAGUUGGUGAGGUAACGGCUCACCAAGGCGACGAUGCGUAGCCGACCUGAGAGGGUGAUCGGCCACAUUGGGACUGAGACACGGCCCAGACUCCUACGGGAGGCAGCAGUGGGGAAUAUUGCACAAUGGGGGAAACCCUGAUGCAAGCAACGCCGCGUGAGUGAUGACGGCCUUCGGGUUGUAAAGCUCUGUCUUCAGGGACGAUAAUGACGGUACCUGAGGAGGAAGCCACGGCUAACUACGUGCCAGCCGCAGC
rnacentral:rRNA from 1 species